rfam:Candidatus Doudnabacteria bacterium RIFCSPLOWO2_02_FTLL_48_13 rifcsplowo2_02_scaffold_3303, whole genome shotgun sequence.
GCCCUUGUAGCUCAAUGGAUAGAGCACUAGUCUUCGGAACUAGGAAUGGGGGUUCGAUUCCCUCCAAGGGCA